AAAUUUGUAAUCUGGCUCUUUUAUAAGGGUCCGAGUUGUAAUUUUGAGAACUGUUUUCCGCGCUGGACCAUGUACAAGUCUGUUGAAAAACAGCAUCAUUGAGGGUGAUAAUCCCGUACAUGAUAUGGACUACCAGGGCAAUGUGAUACAGUCUCUAAGAGUCGAGUUGUUUGGGAAUGCAGCUCAAAGUGGGUGGUAAAUUCCAUCUAAGGCUAAAUAUAGGUGAGAGACCGAUAGCAAACAAGUACCGUGAGGGAAAGAUGAAAAGAACUUUGGAAAGAGAGUUAACAGUACGUGAAAUUGUUAAAAGGGAAACAUUUGAAGUUACACUUGUUAUUGUUGGUUCAGCUCUUUUUUUAAGGGUGUAUUCCAAUGGUUAACAGACCAGCAUCAAUUUUUGGGUGUUAGAUAAGGGUCUUGAGAAUGUAGCAACCUYGGUUGUGUUAUAGCUCUUGACUUGAUAUAAUGCUUAGGAUUGAGGAACGCAGUGAGCUUCUCUUUUGAAGUGGAUGUUUUUUAAAUGUCUCA
rnacentral:rRNA from 1 species